rnacentral:rRNA from 1 species
UACGUAGGGUGCAAGCGUUAAUCGGAAUUACUGGGCGUAAAGCGUGCGCAGGCGGUUUUGUAAGUCUGUCGUGAAAGCCCCGGGCUUAACCUGGGAAUUGCGAUGGAGACUGCAAGGCUUGAAUCUGGCAGAGGGGGGUAGAAUUCCACGUGUAGCAGUGAAAUGCGUAGAGAUGUGGAGGAACACCGAUGGCGAAGGCAGCCCCCUGGGUCAAGACUGACGCUCAUGCACGAAAGCGUGGGGAGCAAACAGG